GAUGAAGCCCUUCGGGGUGGAUUAGUGGCGAACGGGUGAGUAACACGUGGGCAAUCUGCCCUUCACUCUGGGACAAGCCCUGGAAACGGGGUCUAAUACCGGAUAAUACUUUCCUCCUCCUGGAGGAAGGUUGAAAGCUCCGGCGGUGAAGGAUGAGCCCGCGGCCUAUCAGCUAGUUGGUGGGGUAAUGGCCUACCAAGGCGACGACGGGUAGCCGGCCUGAGAGGGCGACCGGCCACACUGGGACUGAGACACGGCCCAGACUCCUACGGGAGGCAGCAGUGGGGAAUAUUGCACAAUGGGCGAAAGCCUGAUGCAGCGACGCCGCGUGAGGGAUGACGGCCUUCGGGUUGUAAACCUCUUUCAGCAGGGAAGAAGCGAAAGUGACGGUACCUGCAGAAGAAGCGCCGGCUAACUACGUGCCAGCAGCCGCGGUAAUACGUAGGGCGCAAGCGUUGUCCGGAAUUAUUGGGCGUAAAGAGCUCGUAGGCGGCUUGUCACGUCGGUUGUGAAAGCCCGGGGCUUAACCCCGGGUCUGCAGUCGAUACGGGCAGGCUAGAGUGUGGUAGGGGAGAUCGGAAUUCCUGGUGUAGCGGUGAAAUGCGCAGAUAUCAGGAGGAACACCGGUGGCGAAGGCGGAUCUCUGGGCCAUUACUGACGCUGAGGAGCGAAAGCGUGGGGAGCGAACAGGAUUAGAUACCCUGGUAGUCCACGCCGUAAACGUUGGGAACUAGGUGUUGGCGACAUUCCACGUCGUCGGUGCCGCAGCUAACGCAUUAAGUUCCCCG
rnacentral:rRNA from 1 species